rnacentral:piRNA from 1 species
UGCAUUCAUGGGUGGCUCUCCAUCGC